rnacentral:rRNA from 1 species
AUGAACCAAAUGGGAUUCCUUAAGUAAUUGCGAAUGAACAAGGAAAUGCUCAGCUUGAAAAAUGGGGCCUUUGGCUUUGAAUUGUAAUUUUGAAAUGUAUUGCCAAUGGAGGCGCAGGUGCAAGCCUAUUGAAAGAAAGCGUCAAUGAGGGUGAGAUUCCUUUUUGUCAUUUGCAGUCCUCCGUGCACGGUAUAUAUUUGACGAGUCACACUCCUCGGCAUUGGAAUGCAAAGUGGGUGGUAAAUUCCAUGUAAAGGUAAAUAUAUUAUUGAGACUGAUAGCAAACAAGUACCAUGAGGGAAAUAUGAAAAGGACUUUGAAAAGAGAAUUAAAAGAGUCUGCAUUUGCUGAACAGAAAGCAAACAGAAUUGAUUUUACUUGGUGAGAUUGUUGUGCUUACUCUAUCAUUUAUAUGGUUGAUGUGGGUGCGAUGGUUCUUACCUUGAAUGUCAGCUUCUAUUUCUGCAAAUCAUUACCCUUGCACAUGAAUGGUAAUUUGCCUGCGGGUAUUGGAAUGCAUGUGUUUGCAAUGAUUUGUGAUUUGACGCAUGUGUUUGGUGAAAUUUGUAUAUGCUCUUUUGUCGAAGGGGAAAGCUUACUUUUUUGAGCAUUGCAAGCCCUUACACAUCAGUGCUGGCAAAAUGUUUCUGCUUGACCCGUCUUGAAACACGGACCAAGGAGUCUAACAGAUGUGCAAGUUCGUGGGUGGCAAACCUUUUUGCGCAAUGAAAGUAUUGGCUGGGAUACUUGCACCAGCAGCCGACCAAUUAGCAGACAGAGGUUUGAGUUUGAGCAUAUCUAUUAGGACCCGAAAGAUGGUGAACUAUGCCUGAACAGAAUGAAUUCAGAGGAAACUCUGAUGGAGGUUCGUAUCGAUACUGACGUGCAAAUCGUUCGUCAUAGUAGGGAUAGGG